UCCCUCCCCCCUCAAGGCCAGUGCCCCUCGCUCCCCUUUUCUAUGCUGAUGCUGAAACCUGUCUAGAGAGCAGGUUGCAAAGCACCACACUUUCAUUUUUUAAGCAGAAAAAGAAAUGAAAAAACCUGUUGUUGUUCAGGAAGCACCGCAGGACAUCAGUUCAACUUCAGGGGAGUUUGAGAUGUGUGGUAUACAGAUUCUCACCUGUGCAGGAGGGAGGAGGAGGCUAACAGCAGAUUGUCUCCACUUUGCAAAUGUCUUUUAAAGCUUUCCUCUGUUCACAUCGAAUGUUUACGUGUGGUUUUUGCUUUGUUUUUUAAAUGGAUAUUCCGAUACGUGUCAAGCAGAUUGGCGUCGCUGGAAGUUUGGGAAUGGGAGCGAAUCCGUUUUCCAGCGGACUUGGGAGAUGUCAAUGAGCGGGGGCCCGUGUCCCUGGAAAAAAUACAACUCUGGAAGGGAAGAGCACUGCUCAUCUCUUUCCCUGCCCACCUGGGAAUGCUCCUUGUCCUGUUUUGUUUCUUUUACUCUGCUGUCUAGACCGAUUUUUCAUUUACAAAGGUUCACAAAACCAAAAAUCAGUUGGUGUUUUAAGCUGCUUUUUUCCCACCUUUUCAGGAAGCAGUUACUCAUCUUUGGUCUUGCCUGGUAUUGAAGGCUGGAGAAACAGAUUCUUAUUGUACUUUCUCAGGCCAUUGCUUGUGAUGUAAAUGCAGGCUUAUUACUUGUUAACAGUUGCAAAGAGCAUGUUCAUCUAACACAGGAGGUACAUGGUCCCACUAGGGACCUCUUACUGGACUUGGUGCUGGCGACAGGGGAUGACCUGGUAGGGAAUUGACUGACUCGAGGUAACCUAGGGGACAGUGACCAUCCACUGAUUGGAUUCACUAUCUGGCACAGGGUGGGAAAAAUAACCAGUAGGGUAGGAGUGCUAGACUUCAGUGUGGUCAGGAGAUUAGUUAGCGAGGCGCUGAAGGACAAGAGCACUGGUAAGAUGGGAGUCCAGGAAUGGGAGUUGUUCCUAAAGGGAGCAAUCCUACAGGUGUAGGAGAAGAUGAUCCCGUUGCACAGGAGAGGGGAAAGAGGGGCCAAGAAACCCUCCUGGCUGAACAGCAAAAUGCAGGAAAACCUAGGGGCAAAAAAGAGGCAUAUAGACAGUGGAAGCAUGUGAGAUUUACCAAGGUGGAGUAUACCUACUUGGCCUGCACUUGCAGGGAGGCAGUUAGAAAGGGUGAACCAGAAAUGGAGCUUGGGCUGGCAACAAAAAUUAAAAACAAGUAAAGUCUUUCUUUAGGUGUAUAAGGAGUAAAAAGAAGGUGCCAUGGUAGCAUAGGAACCCUACAGGACAAAGUAGGGUAAAUAGUGAUAGGUGGGGUGAGCGGGGCAAGGUUGAGCUCUUCAGUGAGUUUUUUGCUUCUGUAUUCCUGAACAUGGAACAGGACAGGUCUCCCAGUUGGAUGCUAGACAGGCAUAAAAGGGACACCAGCCCACCAAGUGUUUGUGCCAACUUGGUGAAGAGGCACUUGGAAAGACUGGGUGUGUUUAAGUCAGCAGACCCACGUGAUCUUCAUCCAAGGGUGCCAAAGGAUUUGGCAGCAUUAUAGGAGAGCCCCGACACAGCUGUUUGAGCACUCGUGGCACUCGGGUCAGGUCCCAGAGGGCUGGAAAAGGGCCAGUGCGGUCCCUACCUUUAAGAAGGGAAAGGAGGAUCCGGGUAACUAGACACCAGUUAGUCUCACUUCUAUUCUGAGGAAAACCUUUGAAAACAUUAAGGAUCACAUUUGUGGGAGUCCUGGAAGGUGGGGGGAUGCUGAAGGGCAGUGAGCACAUAUUCAUAGCAGGUAGAUCCUGCCUGACUAACCUUGUUUCUUUUUAUGACCAGGUCACAAAAUGCUUACACACAGGAAUUGAGGUAGAUGUCAUCUACUUGCAUUUUAAGAAGGCCUUCAAUAUGGUAUCUCAUUCUAAUGUCAUUAAUAAACUGAGCCGCUGUCACGUAGAUGAUUACACGAUCAGGUGGGUGGCAAAAUGGCUCAGCGUCAUACCCAGAGAAUGGCGGUGGAUGGGUCGGUAUCGACCUGGAAAGAUGUGGGCAGUGGAGUCUGACAAGGCUCGGUCCUUGGACCUGUGCUGUUUAAUGUCUUUGUGAGUCACUUGGAUGAGGGCGUGGAAAGCACUCUGUCCAAAUAUGCAGAUGAUACCAAAUUUAUGGGUAACGUUAACAUGCUAAAGCAGAGGUCCUCAAACUGUGGUCUCUGGACCAGCGCUGGUCCACAAGCUCCAUGUAGGUGGUCCUCAGAAAGGUUGCAGAACAAUUGAGAAUCUCUGCAUUUGGCCCUGCAGUUGAUUACUUUUUUUUCCGGUGACGGAGAUUAAGCGGUCCGCUGAGACCCUCGGCAAUUUUCAAGCGGUCCGUGCAAAACAAAGUUUGAGAGCCGGUGCGCUAGAGGGUUGGGACCAAAUCUGUGGGCACCUGGGCAGGUUGGAAAAAUGGGCAGACCAGAAUAGGAUGCAGUUGAACAAAGACAAGUGCAAAGUGCUGCACCUAGGGAGAAGGAAUCACCGGCACGCUUACAGGCUGCGGGAGGGCUUUCUCAGCAUCAGAGCAGCGGAAAGGGAUCUCGGAGUCAGCGUCGAUACCGAGAUGAGCGUGAGUUGUCAACGUGACAAAGCGAUUGGUAAAGCUAACUGCACUUUAUCAUGUGUUCGCAGGUGCAGGACAAACAGGUCCAGGGAGGUGAUGCUUACCCUCUACGCGACAUUGGUCGAGCUGCAGUUGGAGUACUCUGUCCGGUUUUGGACGCCACACUUCAAGAGGGAUGUGGACAACCUUGUGAGGGUUCAGAGGAGGGCAAAAGCUAGUCCUUGCGCUCCUGUCCUUGGAACCAGCUUAUCGGCGAGGAAGCGCAGCGUGACAUUCGGAACCAAAAGGCCCGGAGUAGAAGGGCCCCCGACAUCCGUCGCAUCUGCAACGGGUCCCUGCGUGAGCUACUGAGAAACGAGCGUUUGGGGCCCGCACCGGUCUCUCGGAAACAUCCGAGCCAGCCCUGGCAGCAGGUGCCUGCGCGUUCCUGCCUCGUACGCGGUCAGGGAACGCUACGCACCAGCAGUUGCCUCGGCUUCUGACCGGACGCACGCCGUUUGCUCGCAAGCAUCCAAAGCUAGCACCUCCAGCGGCUGCAGCUGUUGCUUCCCAACUACUAGGAGAGCCUUGCAAAAGCAAUGGCCUGCCCCUGGGCCAGGCUGAUACCAGUGGCUCAGACCCAGGGACUUGCUGUUGUACCUCCCGGUGUCUGGAUUAGGUGUCGAGCACUUGGAACUCUGGCAGCUUCAGCACAUAUUAACCUCUCGUCCUCCUGUGGCCAACACCACGGAGCCCGUGACCCUAAUGUUUCUGUCAGCCUCUGUCCCACCCUUCCCCUGAAGGCCUCCCGUGAAAUCCCUUGUCCCAUCACAGUCUGCAGGUUGGCUCCAGCGGUAUUUCCCAGCUGCACGUGGAGAGUUGCAAGGGAGUGUCAGCGAGGAGCUGCAGCGUGAAAGAAGUGGGACUUGGAAAUAUCCAAGGGACCACGGGUAACAGUUUGACGGGCGUCACGUAGACUCGUUUUGCUGAAACUUUGGGAACGGGACCGAACCCAUUUUCCUGUGCGCUUGGACCUGCAGAUGGCUGGGGCCCGUGUCCCUGGGGAAACUCUGAGUCUGGAAGGGAGGAACACUGCUCAUCUCUCUCCCUGCCUGCCUGGGAAUGCUCCUUGCCUUGUGUUUGUUAGACUCUGCCAUUUAGACCUAUUUUAACUUGUAACAGGGUCACAAAACCAAAUGCCAGUUGCUGCUCGUAGCUGCCGUUUCCCAUCGUUCCAGAAAGCAGCUACUCGCUCUUGGUCUUGUCUGGUAUUAAAGUCUUGAGAAACAGAAUUUUAUUCCACUUUUUUUGGCCGUUCCUUGGGAUGUAAGUGUAGGCUCACAGCCUAUUCCUUGUAUGCCAGCUUAAGCACGUGUCGUUCUUAAGUUAGGCUUCUGGUAGGUGUGUAGUCUGCAAUACUGAGCGUGGUCUGUCAGGCCCUGACCAUAUUUUCAGUUUACACCGAGGGGAAUCUGCCCAUAGCCUUCCUUCCCCUUUCUCAUCACCAUCUUCGUAACAUCCCUGCCUCUUUACUUGUCGCUCAUUUCAGGAGCUGUUGUGUGCCAGUGCUUCUGUUCCCUGGUGCUUUCCCCGGGUACCCACCCUGUCUCCUGUACGUGGCGGAGGACCGGUUUAAGGAGUUGCACGGAGGGCCUCACAGAAGUCCUGUGUGGUCACGGGUUUACAAUGAAGACUUGCAGCUGUGUGUUACUAUUUCUGGGGUGUGCCGUGUGUGAGGUGCAGCUGUCAGAGGAACGCUUUGGAGAUGUCGCUCACGCAGGGAAGCAAAAUUGUUCUGCUCCCCACUACUGAGCUUUAAAGGGUGAUACCUGUGAGACAUCACAUCCCCUGUCCAAACCUGAGCCAUCUGAGCAGGGGAAGUGGCAUGGGAGCGGGGGCCAAGAUACCUGGUUGACAGCCCAGACUGCAAGUUGAAGGCUGCAAUGGAAGCGCUCAGAGUGUGGCCUGUCAGAUUCCAACAAAAUCUGUCAAGUCUCACAUGUAGCUUAUCACAAGGAAACGAAAAAGAAAAGGACAUGAGCAGGGGCCCAUGUUAGAGUCUUAGUGCAUUGGUCAGCGAUUGGGGGUGAGGGGGUGCAUGUCCCUCCUUCACUGCUUGUGUGUUGACUGUCAUUGUUAAAGGACCAGGGUUGGGGGCGGGGGCAUUCUUGGCUGCUUGGCCAAGUGCCUGGGGGAAGAGCUAGGAGGGAGGGGGAGGUUCAGCAACCCCGGACUGGCCAGGUCUCCCCCUGCCUCCCACAGGGCUGCGCUACCUGCUACUGGCAGUGACUCUGCCUGGAGCAGUUGGCAGGCCCUUGUAAGCAGCCUGCACUGCUUGGGAGAUGUGGGCUGUGACACCUUGGUUUUCUGGACUGUGGUAAGAAAGCAAACAGCCUUGUAGUACAGGCUUCAGUUGUGGGACUGCACCCUGUUGUUGAGACCCCCCCCAGGGGCUUAUUUCUUGUAUGUCCAUGCAGGAUAGUUGGAGGGGUGGGGAAUGGAAGGAAGAGGCAUGGAUGAGACCUGCAUCUUCUGUUCAGCAAAUUUCUGUAAGUAAUGUUAGUACUACUAAUAUUAUCCCUGUUCUGAUUCUUACUAUUACUAUUAUUUGUUUUCCCAUAUACUUUGCCAACAAAGCACCUGGCAGGUCCAGUAAGAAAAGGAAGUUUCCAAACAGGUGACAGAAGGAAACCAAAUGAUUUAAGUAUGCAAGUGGUGGUGGUGGUGUUGGGAAGGUUCAGGAACCAUGGGGGAGGCAAGAUUUUUUGUUAUGUCUUUUGUGGCAACAACAGCACGGUUUGGACGGACAGAAGCAAGGUUUUAGGCAUCCCAGUCCCCUUUUUCAGUCCUGGUUCCUUCCCAGCAUCCUGAGGAAAGGUACUGUCAUACCCCAAAGGUUGCCUGUAUCUUACAGUUGGUCUGGUAAAACAGGGGUCAAAAAACCUAUGGCCUGUGGUUUGGAUCCAGCCUGUGAAGAAACUGGUUCUAGCCCGUAGCAGUUCAACCAAGGAGCAGCACACUCCCACGGUGACAGCAGCAGGGACAUCCCCAGCAGCCUGUUGCCACUGCGUUCAGUUUGUUCUUUGUGCUGCAGCAGAAGCAGCCUCCCCAGGGUCCCGGCCCCUGCCUCUUUCUUUUGAGUCCCUUCACAGCCUGUGGAGAUUGCCGGGGAGCAAGCUGUCACGUUGGCAACGGUGCACAACGGCAAAAGAACGGCCCUUCCCUGCAAGGAAAGAUUGCACCUAACUCCGAGCGAGCAGAGCAGAGCAGAGCAUGGACACAGAGCGAGAUGCUCAUCAGUAGGGUAGUCUGGCCUUGCCGUUGCUAGGAGUGCCCAAGUAGGGAAGUGUUGGAAUAAUUUCUCAGCUUUUUCCCUAGAUCGCUCUAAGAGGAGAGGGGAGCGCUAAGCACACUUGGGUUCGUGCACGCUCCCCAUCGUUUUCAGAAGCGGACGGCAGGAGAAAGUUUGCGGUCAGCGAUAGCAGCACAAGGCCGCGCAACCAGGCUCGGGAACGUGGGGCUCUUUCCUAAACCAGGAGUGGCAGGACUUGCACAGCUUUGCCAGGAUCCUGGCUGUUGUGGAGAGACUUUGGGUUGGAGAUGGAUGCAAAGAAGUGGAGGCGUGGCAUGGUGAUGGAGGAUAGAGCAGGAGGAGUAGUGUGAUGGAAGAUGACCAAAGUCUGGUCCUGAGUGGAGAAGAGCUGAGGAAGAGGUGAAGAGCCCUGGAGCUGGUAUGGCGUGGAAGGAGUUGGAGACGGCCUGAAGCCAUGCUCACGUGAUCACCUGGAGCGAGCAGGUGCCUGCAUCGUAUCUGGGAAAGGGAUAGCAAGCAUGAGGACUGAUGGCGCACAAGGACUGAAGGCGCAGCGUGAUGCCAGGUGUGGAGCCAUCUUCUGAAGGCUUGAGGGCUGUGGAGCAGACUCUGUGAAGAUGAAGUGAAGAGUCCCAGAGAUGGUGCAGGAGGAAACGGGCAGCCCUGUUGUGACUUCCUGAUUUGCGUGGUGUGAGGCCUCUUCCCCUGUGGCAUCACCUGGCUGGAGUCUGGGGAGGUUUUGUGUGUAGCUUUGCAGGCGGUGCGUCUCCGCUCCCACUUCUUGCUGUGAGGAUGCCUGGAUAAGCAGCAGCAUGAUUGUGGCUGGGUGGCCUCAAUGUUGUGGGGGAGAGGAACAGAAGCGAGGCUUCUGCGGUGGUGGCAGAAGAUGGAGGAACUGGAUCCCGAAAGGUGGGCUGGGUUAAAGUGGGAGGCUGGGUUGCGUUUUCCCUGGUCGUGUUUGGGUGGGGAAGGAAACGCCUUGUGCGUGAUGGGGUCUGGAGCUCCGUGCUGUCUGGGAAGUGAUGCUGAAGCAGGGACUUGUGGCCCUUAGGGAUGCUGCAGAGCAGGGGGUGUAAGCCUGAAUUGGGUUUAGUUUGGUGGUGAGACCUGACUCCUUGUAAAGGCUGGAAAUUGUCCUUGAGUAUAUUAGGGGUUUCAGUGUUUGCCCCUGGCUUCUGGGUGCAGGUGACAGCAUUGGAUGUGCUGGGACAGAGGAGCGGGUGCGUGCGUGUCCGCCUCUGCCUGGCUGUUGCUGCUGCCACUGGUCUUCCUUCAGUUCUGGGAAUUGCACUCUGUCCUAUGUCUCUGGGUGUGUCACUGGUGUUUCUUUCUACUUUGAUAUCUAAAAUCACAGCAGCACUACUUCUUUCUUUCUUUGCUCUUCCCAGAGCUGGAAGGAUAGGUGUGUUUGCAACUGAAUUGAUCCCCUCAUUUGGGUGGGCUUUGACUGCACCCUGUGUGCCUCGCGUGCGAGUGGGGGUGUUAUGCUUUCGGUGUCCUAGGCUGCUGGGGGUGGGGGGCGUUGCCUCUGCUGUCAGUACUAUGAGAUGUGAAUACUGUUGCGUGUAGUAAUUGCUUGUUGUUUUGGGUGUGAUGUUAAUAUGUCGAGCGUGAGUGGAGAAGAGCUGAGGCGAAGAGACCUAGAGCCAGCGCUAGGUAGAAGCGGGUGGAGGAAGCAGGUGGUUGUGCAGCCAUGCUCGCUUCUGGGUCACCUGGAGGGAGGCCUCUGCCUGUUCGGUGGACCUGUGUGCAUGAGCAGAGCCUGCAGAGGUCCCUGCUUCCCCUGUGUGGAGAGGAUGGCAAGGAGGGAGGAGAGUGCGCCGGAGGAAGAGGAGCGCGAUGCCAGGUCCCAUGAGUGCUGUCUCUUGGGGGUCCUGACCUGUGCAGAGGGAAAUGACUGCUGGUUGAAGGAGUGAAGCUGAGCAGCGCCCACGGAGGGUGAAGCAGGAGGAACUCGAUGCCGCACGGCGUGUCGGUGCCGGAUGGGCAGUUCUGGCAAUUGCAGGUGCCUGUCUCCCGUAUGGGGAGAGGAUGGCAAGCAAGCAUGCUUGAGGGCUGGAGGAGAAGAGUGAUGCCAGGUGUGGCAAGUGCUGGCGGUCAGGGGAGUCCUCUUGCCAAGGCUUCAGGACUGUGAAGCAGAGACUGGAAGAAGAGGUGAAGAGCCCCAGAGAUGGCGGAGGAGAAAACGCACAGCUGUCUCCUGACUUCCCAAUUUGUGUGGCGUCAGGCCCCUGGCCCUGCGGCAUCACGCGGUUGGAACCUGCGGUUUCUGUUUUUCUCCAGCCCAGUCCUGGGUGUUGGGCAUUGACUAGGUAGGGUAGACGGCUGGAGAUCGAUCUGGAUGUUUCUGACUGGGUCCUGGUCCUUGGAGAGAAGUUUGAGCAGAGAAGGGUGGAAGAUGGAGGCAGAGAGGAUGGUGCAAGCGGGGGGUCUUUUUACCAAGACUUUUGGGGCAGGGAGGAGAAGUGGAGAUUGGGCAGAAGAAGAGAAGACAUCUUGAAGUCAUGAACCAUGGAGCUGCCUGUCAUUGGUGCAUGGAACAUGUGAUGGGUGCUUGUGCUGUAGCUCUGUCGUGAGGAGCAGGGCAGGGGCAGUGACAUGCUGAGGGCUGGAGAAGGAGCACCACAAAGAUGGCUGUGAGGCCUUGGUCAGGCGUGAAGUAUGUGAGCCAGGAGAGUCGUACAGCACACACGCAGGAUGGAGGGCAACAAGUCGAGCGGGGGGCUUCUUUGGCCAGGGCUGCUGUGAAAUCUGGCGUAGGGCUGGGCCGGCCGGUCCGAGUCUGUCGGACUCCACGUAUAGGAGAAACGACGGAUGUCUAAGGAGCUUGUGGGGCGUUUGAUCCGGGCUCAUCCCUGGCACUUGGGGUGCAGGCCUGGCCCCUCUCUGGGGUGUGUUGAGGUCAUCUGGCUGAGGCUCGAGGCUCCUAAGUGGGCAUCGGGAAGAAGAGGUGGAGAUAUAGCGCCUGUGACCUGAGGAAGCUGGUGAAAGAAACGGAUGUCGGCGCAUUCGCUUUGCGGUUGCCCGGUGUGAGACUUCUGCCCGUGCGGUGGCCCUGGGCUGGAAGCCUUGCUGCUUGAAGCCUGCGAUAGAUGUUGGAUUGCUGCUCCCUGUGUGGUGAGAAGGAUUGGCUGCAAUGACUGGAGGCCUGGAAAAGGAGCCGUGUGGCCAGGGUCCUGGCCUGCAUGGAGGGAAGUAGGUGAGAGGACUGCAUCGUGGAAGAGCCGUGGGACAGUGUUGGAUGACAGACACGGACCGGCCGGAUGUUGCCCGCUACGUUGGAAUGUCCCUUCUGUAUUGGGAUUCUGCCUUUGGGGUGUGGGGUGGGUUUGGGAGUGUCCUCAGCUUUAUGAUCCUGGAGCCAGGGGUUUGCAAGUAGUAUGUUUGGGUCAGUUUGUCUGUGCUGUGGGUGGACCUAGGGUGACCAGAGGUGAAAUCCAUUCCUGUGACCCUGUAGUUGGACGAGCACCCAGACACUUGCAGGAACCGCUGGGCAAGCAGGCCCAGAGCUUUCAACUGUUGAGCAUGGCAAUGCUGGAGCCAGCUAGCAUGGAAGCAGAAGGGCCGGCCGGGCGCGGGGCCUGGGCUGCCUCUGUGGCUUCUGUGCUAGUGAGGUUGAGAAUUGCAGUGCUGGGGGGUUGGAGGUUUUGGACCUGCUUGUGCAGGGUUCUUGUUGGUGUUGGGGUGCUGGUUCUGCUGGGUCAGAGCAAUGGGUUUUAUUCUGCCUGACUGCCAUGUUUACCGUGUCCUACAGGGCUGGGAGCCUGUCGUAGCAGCGUGUGUUUGGCUGGGGCGGGGUGGUUGUCUGGUUUGGUCCCUGAGCAGUGUGGUGAGCAUGUUUGUUAUUACCCUGAAAUAAAAUAGUUUUCUGAUAGCCUACUGUUAGGCUAACAAUAAUUUAGAUUAUUAAGAAGUAUUAGCUUUGCAGUUGAAUACAAGGCAUGACCUGUGGCCUAGCAAUGCCGCUGACCACAAGGCAGAAUGAUAGCUAAGCCUUUGCUUAUGUUAAGUAAUCAUUUUAACUGUGUUGACUAUUUUCUGAGUAAAAUGCAGCAAGUGAAUCUGUCUGUGUGCUGUAAACCAGAUACAGCAAGGAACAAGGUAAGAGGAAGAAGCCAUUGUUCUAAGUACAGUGAUCGUGUCCUUAAGAAGUAUCUAGUACUGUGCAAGUUUUUGCUAACAUAUCAUCAUGUUACUGUUACUUAUGUUAGAAAAUAUUGUUGGAAAAUCAAUGUGACCUUUGUAUGACCUUUGGUCAAUGCUGGCUGAUGCAACCUUGCAGUAAGGUUGCCAUGAUCUGUCAAUAUAGGCGGGCAGACAAGGUGAUUGGGCCCAACCGUGUGGGGUGAGCAAAGCCAAGCCAUCUUGGUGAUUUCCUCUGAGUUUUGCGCAUGCGUUAUGAAGGAGCUUAUGUAACCAGAGUUUAUAAAUCUAUGUGUUUGAGGUGCAGUCGGGGGUCUCUCUGCCCUUACGAGGACAGGGGACCUUUGGUCGAAUAAACUGAAAAGACCACGCCCUCGUCUCCUGCUUAUUGUAGUCUCAGGUGGGAAACGAGCCCUGUUCGGGUUAAGAGAGUCUGCAGGUGUUCCCUUACCAGAUUGGGAGCCUGGUCAGACAAUUUCUCUCACAAUUUGGCGAGCCAGCCAGGAGCACCCAGCUCGUCGCGCUGCCGCUGCCGCCUAAACCCAACCUCCGGCCGGCCGUAACAGAGGUGAGUUCACCACGGGAGUCUUGGGUUGAGGCUGCAGACACGGCGGGACGAUAAGGUGACUCCUUCAAUUUUACUGGCACGGUGUGGUCUUUUAUAUGUUGUGUAUGUCUUGUCUAACGUGUUAUAGGCCAGUCUGUUCUCCGGUUCCUCAAACCUGGGCGCACAGGCAAUUUUAGUUAAUUGCCCGUUCGACUCUUUUGAGCCGAUAAAUCUGUGUGGCGCAUUUUAUGUCUCCAUUCGCGCACCGAGGAACCGUCUCUGUUUCUGACCUUUUAACUGGAUAAGUCCUCCAACCUGUUUGAGGCAUCCUAGAAGCCUGCCUUUCCAGGUUGGUUAGGUCUAGGGCAGCCAAGAAAGCAGGGUUUUUGGGGAGCUUAAUAGUAUAUCAGGUCAUCUGGGAAAGGGAUGUCCGCCAAGAAUGACGAUGGGACAGAAACAGUCAAUUCUGGCUAGUAGUCCUCUUGGAGAAUUGUUAAGCAACUGGAAUAAGUUAUCUGGACAUGGCCAAUUGAGUAAGAAGCGCGCUAUAGCCUUAUGUACUAGUGUCUGGCCCGGCUACACUUAUAAAAACCCUGAACUUCAGUGGCCAGUGUUGGGAUCCCUCAGUGUAGAUAAAUGAAGGUACCUCAGGGGGUUCCUAGAGGAACCCCAUCCCCGACUAAUGGAUUAUUGGUAUCUCUGGUGUGAUUUGAUGGAUUUAAUUCUGCAGAGGAAAAAAAAACUGAUUACUUCUGGCCGCUCAACAACGUCUGUGGUGUCUUCUCCCCCUUAUUCUCCCGCUAUGCCACCAUUGGUGACUAGGGGACCAGCCAUAAUAAACCCGGCCGCUUAGGCCGUGGCCCUUCCGGCACCUUUUACCCCUUCAUCAGGCUCCUCUCCUCCCGUAACAGGAGUGUCAGGGUCUGUACCUGCCUCCUCGGAGCCUACUUUCAGUCCCAUAGCAGGACAUACUAGGUAGCGUUUGAAUCAGGUCAUACACCUGCUCUUGUACACAUGUAAUGACAUCUGCACACCCCCAUCACACAUGCAGUCACGCCUGCUCAGAGUCCCUUACAGACAUGCGCCUGCACAGAACCCCAAAACACACUGCGACAUACACAUGUGCCCCAACAGGUGUGCGUGACACACUUGCACACAAAUAUGCAUCCUCGCACACAUGCAUGUGCAGUCUCACACACGUACCCAGAGCCCAGGUGCUUGUGACACGUGCAUGCUCACACACACAUGGAACUCAGGUGUCUGACACACAUGCAUAUGUGCUCUCGCGGACACAGUCUAGCACACAUGUACAGAACCCAAGUGUCUGUGGCACACAGGCAAGUACCCUGACAUAUUCACAUUCACACACACACAACCCCACAUGGGUAGAUAUGAAUCAACCUGCCCCCAAUGAUGUGUGCAAUUAUUGUAAACAAUUGGGGCAUUGGAGACGAGAACACCCAAACUGCCCUAAGGGACUUCCCCCUUAUGGAGGAAGAAAGGGGGGAACCCAGGGAAACAACCGGGCUGCCAGCACCGAUCCUACAGAUCCCUGGGUCCAGAGUUUGCAACAAGAUAUAGAUGACUCCCAGUGAAAUAAGGGGGCGGCUCUUCCACACGAUGUAUUUAGGGGAAUCUUCCUCUUUUGAGUAUACCUGCGCCCCUUCAUCCCCUUAUGUACCACUUCAAAUAGCAGGAAAAUUUAUAAAUGUCUUAUAGAUAGAGGAGCAGAUCUGUCCUCACUGGGAGAAUCUCCAGAAAGGGCGGGAAUUGCAGUCUCAGGAUCUGAAAAGAUUACGAGAGUAAUUGGAAAAUCUAUGCAAGUGCCCCGUGGCACUGAAACACAAGUGCAGAUAGGACCCUUGGCCACCAUUCAUGCUUUCCUAUUAGCUGAAGGAACUGUAGUGCACCUCCUUGGAAGAAAUCUACUCUAUAAACUACAGACCAGAAACCCUUCACCCUACUUACUCAUGAGAAUCAAGGCGUUGCUUCAGGUGUCUUAACUCAGCCAUGGGGAGUUUCUAAUCGUCCCAUAGCAUACUAUUCUGCUCAGUUAAAUCCUGUAGCAAGGGCAGCAAUUCUCUGUCUUAGAGCAGUCGCUGCUGCCGCUGUGCUAGUUCAAAAGGCUGAAGAUUUAGUGUUAGGACACUCUCUUGUGGUUGAAAUAUCUCAUUCAGUGGAAGCUCUCCUACUACAGCAGAACCUCUGCCAGCAGGGACCAACGCCCAGGCCGCUGAGCUAGCGGCACUCUGACGAGCAUGCAAAUUGGCCACAGCCUCCAGGGUCACUAUCUAUACUGACUCUAAAUAUGCUUUUAGUAUCUGUCAUGCGCUAGGACAGUCCUGGUGACAAAGAGGUUUUAUCACGUCCUCUGAUGCUGUAAUCAGCAAUGCCACGGAAGUCCAAGAACUGCUAGAGGCUGUCGUGUUACCAGGUGAUAUAGCGGUAAUGCACGGUCCCAGACAUUCCAGAGAAGAUACUGACAUCGCUAAAGGAAAGCAUCUCGCAGAUGCUGCAGCUAGAGCCGCUGCACUACAAACUAAAGGAAGUCUCCUUGCAUCUCAAGUUGUUCUUCCACCCUUGUCUGUGAUUUAUGACAAAGUCCCAGCGGAUGAAGUAUCUAUAUGGGUCCAAAAGUGGGAAGCUGCGCAAGGAAAGGAUGCAGUGUGACAUGUGCCAGACGGUAGACCAAUUGCUCCUCACACCUUGCUCCGAAGUCUGGCUCAGGAUGCCCACAGAUGCUGUCAGUCGGGAAAAGGAGAAAUAGCAGAACAGGUCCUCUCCACCUGGGUUGCUCCAGGUAUACAUCUAGAAGCUGCCCGAAUAACUCUGCAAUGUUCAGAGUGCAGAGCCUUCAACAAAUACAGAGGACACACAAAAUUACAAGGGGCCCGACCGUGGGCCUAUUUACCCUUUGAAAAACGACAUGGAUUUGCUCAAAGCUGUAAAUUUCAAGCAGUGCCUAGUAGUGGUAGAUCAAGUAACAGGAUGGCCAGAAGCUUUCCCCACUCGAGAAGCGGAUUCAGUAGCAGUAGCCAAACCCGUAUUAAAAGAAAUCAUCCCACAUUUCGGCAUUCCAGGAGGAAUAAACUCUGACCGGGGAACUCACUUUACAGAAACUGUUUUAAAAGAAGUUUACAGAGUUUUUGGAAUAAUAACAUACUUCCACGCACCUUAUCGCCCUCCGUCCUCGGGUCAGGUAGAGAGUAUGAAUCAGAGUAUAAAAUCCCUUUUAGGAAAGAUCUGCUCCUAAACCAAAUUGAAAUGGUCAGAUGCCUUACCAAGGGUGCUGUUUGCUAUAAGAACAAAACCCAAAUGGCCUCUCAACCUUGUCCCCCUACGAGUUGUUGUUUGGUCACGCUCCUGUUAUAUAAGAGAUGGGAAAAUCUGCAUGUUAGCUUACUGGGCGGAGAUGAAGCUUUAAUUAGUUAUGUUUUAUCCUUACAGGAGUCUCUCUAGUGUUUACACAGGUCAGCUGCUUUGGUUCAGCCGGUACCCCUGGACUGUAACCUUCACUCCUAUCAAUCAGGACGCUGAGUUUGGGUAAAACAACAUCGGCGAAAAACCGCCUCGGCCCAAGUCUGGGCAGGCCCGUACCAAGUUCUUCUUACUAUACACGCUGCUGUGAAAAUCGCCGAGAAAGAGGGCCGGAUUCAUCGCGGUCGCCUCAAACCUGGUAUCGGCAAGUAAUGACCGGUCAGCUGAUGUUCCGCCUCUAUGGCUAGAAAGAAUCGGAGAAUCGUGGACCGUUCAGACUCCUUAAUAGAAAUGAUACGUGUAUUAAGCUUGCUUUGUAUUAUCUUUCUUGUUAUACUUUGUGUUUGUAUUUCACUGUGGAUGCAGGGAAGGUUGUAAGUUAAUAAUGGCAUUUCACCGGGCUAUCCUAACAGGAUUAUUGCUCUUGAUGCAUAAAACACCAUGGCUAUUUAUGGGAAAGCGAUACAGAACAGGAAGACCAGUGGAAAGAUAAUACUUACCUGAUUUCCACUAUAGCUAUAGCACAGGCCCUAAAAUUUGUGUAAUGGUUGGAUAUGUGGUACACAGUCUCCUUCUACUAACUUUCCACCCUAUCCUUUAAUCUCUUGGGAAGGGAUUUUUUCUAAUCCAGAGUGGGUUGAUACGGAUAGAGCUGGAAUAAGUACCUGGCAGGACAAUCCUUAUUUUAAAGAGAGAGUACUUUCAGACAUCAUGUUAUCUGCCCAGGUGUGUUGGGAAAAUCCUCAUGGAAUAGGAAAAGAGAUUUUUAGGAUGGCAACCAGGUUGUAAACUAACCAUUAAUGCCACACACUUAAUUUGGCCUAACAAUACUGCAGUGGGGACUAAAGAAGCUGAAAAGAAAGGUUACAUCCCCUGGAAUGCGUCUGCUCCCUGCAGUUCCUUGCAGCGUCCUUAUGUAUGGCAAUGUAUGGAAGGUUCCAUCCGAUGCUCCGCCCCUUAUAAAACUUGGGCUUGGAGUCACGGCUGUUUCACGUCUUGCAUAUACAGCUCCUUUGCAAAGCCAAGUUGUUCGUAUGUUAACUAUACCAUUUACAGAGACGGUUCAGUACCUUGCCCCAGAGAUCGUCAUACUACCGCAUCAAUCAACUGGCACGUGCAUUAGAACUUAUUGCCAAUAGCACAGCAGAGGGCAUUGAAUUAGUGCAAGACCAGGCUUCUUGCAACCAUGCUAUGACUUUAGAAAAUCGCUUCGCUUUAGACUAUUUGUUAGCUAGAGAAGGAGGGGUAUGUGCUUUAAUCACAGGAGGACCCUGCUGCACCUAUAUUCCUGACCACUCUGACAACAUAACUGCUGCAGUAAAAACAAUUCGAGACACAGCACGACAGGUAAACUCUUUGCGAAGUUGGUCAGUAAUAGAACGGAUUGCCUCAACUUUAGGAAUGUGGGGAAGGUAUAUCUUAGAAUACAUUUUAUGGGGAUUAGGAAUCUUCUUGGUUAUUAUUGUAAUAAUUGCUGUAAUUACAGCCUGUGUAGUUUGAGUUAAGCAAAAAGUAAUUAAUCUCAAUAUUAUGCAAACCUGGGAAAUGGCUAGCAGGCCAUAGGCCUGUGGCUGUAAGGGGGGAUUGUUAGAAACUAUUGUUGGAAAAUCAGUGUGACCUUUGUAUCACCUUUGGGCAAUGCUAGCUGAUGCAACCUUGCAGUAAGAUUGCCAUGAUCUGUCAAUAUAGGCGGGCAAACAAGGUGAUUGGGCCCAACCAUGCGGGGUGAGCAAAGCCAAGCCAUCUUCGUGAUUUCCUCUGAGUUUUGCACAUGUGUUAUGAAGGAGCUUAUGUAACGAGAGUUUAUAAAGCUACAUGUUGAGUUGCAGUUGGGGUCUCUGUUCCCUUAUGCGGACAGGGGACCUUCGGCCCAAUAAACUGAAAAGACCACACCCUUGUCUGCUGCUUAUUGGAGUCUCAGCUGGGAAACGAGCCCUGUUUGGGUUAAGAGAGUCUGCAGGUGUUCCCUUACCAGCUUGGGAGUCUGGUCAGACAAUUUCUCUCACAAUUAAUUUGUAGCUUUUAGAAAGUGCUAGUUCAGCUUAAUAGAAAUAUGCUGUUAUGAAGAUUCGUAAAGCACCGCCCAAGUAUUGCUUUUGGUUAACCCUUGUAGUGCGCAAGUUUGUUAUUACCCUGAAAUAGAAUAGUUUUCUGAUAGCAUACUGUUAGGUUAACAAUAAUUUGGAUUAUUAAGAAGUAUUAGCUUAACAUCUGAAUACAAGGCAUGACCUGUGGCCUAGCAAUGCAGCUGACCACAAGGCAGAAUGAUAGGUAGGCCUUUGCUUAUGUCAAGUAAUCAUUUUAACUACACCAAGCAUUUUCUGAGUUAAAAAGUGAAUCUGUGUCUGUGUGCUAAAAAAAAUCAGCUACAGCAAAAAGUAAGAUAAAACAGAGAAAGCAUUGUUUGAGCUUACUGGUUGUGUCCUUGAAAAAUAUCUUCUACUGUAUAAGGUUUUGCUAACAUAAUGUUACUGUUACUUAACUUUUAGCUUUAAAAAGUGCUAGUUCAGCUUAAUAAAAAUAUGCUGUUACAAAGAUUUAUAGAUCACCGUCCCAAGUAUUGCUUUUUGUUAACCAUAUAGUUUUGCUUUGUUGUAAAAAAAAUAUAAAAGAUCGCCUCACCCUUGAGGGGGGGCCUUUUUGCCUUUUGCUGGCUUUAUGGUCUUUGCUCGAGCAAAUAAACAGCUGUCUUUCUUUA